ACCUUCUGCACUGGAUUUGUCCUCUCUUGAUGUCUUUGGAGUUGUGCGAAAGAUGCCGAAUCAGCCUGCUGCAGACAGGCAGGUCUGUGCACCCCCUACCAAGUUGCCGAGUCACGCGGAAGAUGCCGAAUCACCCCGCUGCAGACAGGCAGCCACCUGGUUCCACACUACAAAGACGCAGAGGACACCAGACCACCAGACCAAGUCUCCAAGGUCAAAGAAGAAGAAAGAAGAAGGAAGGGGCAGCACUUGUGUUGGCAAAGCAAAAACAUGUCCAGAAGUCUCCAGCAGAUUUCCAUGUAGAUGUCCCUGUACAGAACAGUGUCAUCUGGCCAACGCUGAAUGCAAGGGAGUCUAGGACGGUCAGAAGAUUGGCUGAUGCCAUUGCCACAUGAAUGAAAUUGGUAUUCUGCUGGAAAAACGGAAAUGGGUAAGUG
rnacentral:lncRNA from 1 species